ensembl:lncRNA
GGGGGACUACAAUCACCUGACAGGACUGGGGGGACUACAAUCACCUGACAGGACUGGGGGGGACUACAAUCACCAGAAAGGACUGGGGGAAACUACAAUCACCAGAGAACACUGGGAUUCUGGGACUACAAUCACCAGAGAACACUGGGAUUCUGGGACUACAAUCACCAGAAAACACUGGGAUUCUGGGACUACAAUCACCAGAAAACGCUGGGAUUCUGGGACUACAAUCACCAGAGAACACUGGGAUUCUGGGACUACAAUCAAGAGAAGCAGGAUGCAUCUGUUCAGAAAUGGACGAACAGCAACAACAACACCUCUCUUUCAACAAAGAAUCUCUGAUUCCCACAAUUCUGUCUGCUGGGAAUCCAACUCUUUUUAAAGCAAACCUUCUGAAUCAUGCUGGAACUGUUUUCCCUGUCUUGUGAAUCUGUACCAUGUGGACUAUGGAUGUGUUGGCGUGUGUUUGCAACGUGUGUGUGGGGCUGGGCUGCGUGUUGUAGCUACAUGCCAGCAGACGCAGGGUGCAGUGGAUCUAGGCCGUGCAGGACCUGAAGUCUGUGUCAGGGACUGUCUGUUCUAGUGCUGCUUUAGAGAGGAUCAAAUUAGCUUUCUGUUUUGGUAUCUUGCAUUUGUAUGAGAAAUAUAUGUUUGUGUAUUGCAACAACAACAACAAACAGACCUAUGCUUUGUAAGGGUUAACUCUGACCUGCCAUGUUAAUAUGAUGAACACUACAGGUGCUUUGUAAGGGUUAACUCUGACCUGCCAUGUUAAUAUGAUGAACACUACAGGUGCUCUGUAAGGGUUAACUCUGACCUGCCAUGUUAAUAUGAUGAACACUACAGGUGCUCUGUAAGGGUUAACUCUGACCUGCCAUGUUAAUAUGAUGAACACUACAGGUGCUCUGUAAGGGUUAACUCUGACCUGCCAUGUUAAUAUGAUGAACACUACAGGUGCUCUGUAAGGGUUAACUCUGACCUGCCAUGUUAAUAUGAUGAACACUACAGGUGCUCUGUAAGGGUUAACUCUGACCUGCCAUGUUAAUAUGAUGUUUGACAAAACAAAAACAUUUUAAUAAAUAUAUAAA